rnacentral:rRNA from 1 species
CCUACGGGGGGCAGCAGUGGGGAAUAUUGGACAAUGGGGGCAACCCUGAUCCAGCCAUGCCGCGUGUGUGAAGAAGGCCCUCGGGUUGUAAAGCACUUUCAGUGAGGAAGAACGCCUGGUGGUUAAUACCCAUCAGGAAAGACAUCACUCACAGAAGAAGCACCGGCUAACUCCGUGCCAGCAGCCGCGGUAAUACGGAGGGUGCGAGCGUUAAUCGGAAUUACUGGGCGUAAAGCGCGCGUAGGUGGCUUGAUAAGCCGGUUGUGAAAGCCCCGGGCUCAACCUGGGAACGGCAUCCGGAACUGUCAAGCUAGAGUGCAGGAGAGGAAGGUAGAAUUCCCGGUGUAGCGGUGAAAUGCGUAGAGAUCGGCAGGAAUACCAGUGGCGAAGGCGGCCUUCUGGACUGACACUGACACUGAGGUGCGAAAGCGUGGGUAGCAAACAGGAUUAGAUACCCUGGUAGUC